AACGCACAUUGCGCCCUCUGGUAUUCCGGGGGGCAUGCCUGUUCGAGCGUCAUUACAACCCUCAAGCUCAGCUUGGUAUUGGGCUCGCCCUUCAUGGGCCUGCCUUAAAAUCAGUGGCGGCUCCGUCCAGUCUCAAGCGCAGUAAUACUCGCCGCUUGUUAGGCUUGGUCGGCGGUUUGCUAACAACCCCCAAUUUUACAAGGUUGACCUCGGAUCAGGUAGGGAUACCCGCUGAACUUAA
rnacentral:misc_RNA from 2 species